rnacentral:rRNA from 1 species
GAUGAACGCUGGCGGCGUGCCUAAUACAUGCAAGUCGAGCGAACAGACGAGGAGCUUGCUCCUCUGACGUUAGCGGCGGACGGGUGAGUAACACGUGGAUAACCUACCUAUAAGACUGGGAUAACUUCGGGAAACCGGAGCUAAUACCGGAUAAUAUAUUGAACCGCAUGGUUCAAUAGUGAAAGACGGUUUUGCUGUCACUUAUAGAUGGAUCCGCGCCGCAUUAGCUAGUUGGUAAGGUAACGGCCUACCAAGGCAACGAUGCGUAGCCGACCUGAGAGGGUGAUCGGCCACACUGGAACUGAGACACGGUCCAGACUCCUACGGGAGGCAGCAGUAGGGAAUCUUCCGCAAUAGGCGAAAGCCUGACGGAGCAACGCCGCGUGAGUGAUGAAGGUCUUCGGAUCGUAAAACUCUGUUAUUAGGGAAGAACAAAUGUGUAAGUAACUAUGCACGUCUUGACGGUACCUAAUCAGAAAGCCACGGCUAACUACGUG